UAAAAUUAAAGCGGUGCUUCUGUUGGUUCC
rnacentral:piRNA from 1 species